UACCAGCACCCCGAGUGGUCGGGACGAUUAUUGGGCCUAAAGCAUCCGUAGCCGGUCCUACAAGUCUUCCGUUAAAUCCACCUGCUUAACAGAUGGGCUGCGGAAGAUACUAUAGGGCUAGGAGGCGGGAGAGGCAAGCGGUACUCAGUGGGUAGGGGUAAAAUCCGUUGAUCCAUUGAAGACCACCAGUGGCGAAGGCGGCUUGCCAGAACGCGCUCGACGGUGAGGGAUGAAAGCUGGGGGAGCAAACCGG
rnacentral:rRNA from 1 species